GAGUCCACAUACAGCAGGGCCCAGUGGGUCCACCUCCAGGCUAGACCACCUCUGUGGCAGGUACCCUUGUAGAAAACAGGGGCAGAAAAGACAUCAGCAAAUGGCUGUGUCCCAGUAAACCUUUAUUUAUAAGAACAGAUGGACGGCCGGAUAUAGUCCAUGGACCAGAGUUUGCUGACCACUAGCCCAGACAACUUGAGGGUUUGAAGGGAUAAAUUGGGAACUCGGGAGCCCAACCCUUUUUUCUGGCUUAUCCUUGAGAGAGAGAGCGCUGUGGGUGGGUGCUGUUUUAAGAAGGAAUUUUUUAGCAUGUGCGUGCGGGGGUUGGGAGGUACUUCAGCUGGAGCUUGGAACACGGCUUGGAAGCUCAAAUGUCAUCAGGAUUCAGAAGCCUUUCCACGUUACCUUCACCAGACCCCGGUUGGCUCCUGUCAUUGUUACCGUCCUUUCUGUACUGGCUCAGAACUUCAACAACGAAGAAGAGUGCAAGCGAACUAGUCCCAUCUCAACACCCCAUGUUGAUGAACAGAACUAAAAAAAUCUCACAGGAAUGCACUUGGCAGUUUGAACUCAGGGCGGGCCAUUCCUGAGAUAACCUGCACCCACACGCCUUCCUUCCGCUGAACACUCACUCUGGUGAGCAGAGAUGCAGCUCUGCAGAUUCUGCCAGGGAAGGUACCUGUGACAGUUGAGCAUCGACAUGGACACUCUCGCGACAGCCCAUCACCCAUCCCGGGAACUGGCUGAACAGAGCAGUGGUGGAGGCCACGGGUCCUAGGUUCAAAAUCCUGUUCCACUACAUUUUAGCUGUGCAACCCAGACAUGUGGCUUGCUGUCUCUGAGCCUCACGUUCUCCACUGUGCUGGGAUUACAAUUCAGUGUCACUACACCUGCUGGUGACGGAACCAGGACUCUGCACACGUCAGGCAAGCACCCUUCCAGCUGAGCCACAUCCCCAGCCACUUGUAUUUGUGGCUCAUGUUAUACAGUUGUCCCUCGGUGCUGGGGGACCAGGCUCUGAUGGUACUCAGGCCCUUGUUUAAUUGCUGUGCUCUUUGCUAAUAACCUGUACCCCCUUUCUUCACCUGAAUGACCUGUGACACUGGGUGCUGGGUACAACUGUCGUAUUGUACUGCUCCGGGAAUAAUGAGUGGGGAAAAUCUUCGUACACUUUCCAGUG